ensembl:miRNA gga-mir-6628 gga-mir-6628
UCCCUCCUGUAUCUACGUAAUGGUUUGGGCAAAGCCUGGGUCCGACUUUGUGCUAUGGGGAAGACAGAGCAGAAGUCGUGGCCUGGCACAUGCCUAGCACCAGGCAAUUC